rnacentral:snoRNA from 1 species
UUUCAUGAUGAUCUCCUGAUAGGGACAGCUUAUGCUUCGGCACAUGCUUAGACCAAAAGAGGACUGUAUUUUAGUAGAUGCUUCGUCAAUAUCUGAUU